CCUGAACUUAUUCAUCUAGAUGUGUGGAAAACCUUCAAAUCUAGGUGUUUCUAUGGCACAACACAUGUACAGUUUGAGGAAACAGGAUUUCACAGCAGAGUCAAGAUAAAGCAUGAGUCAACUCAAGCACAUGGGAAACAAAGUGGAAAGUGUUAACAGCUAAAAGCUUUGUCAGCGACCAUGAUGGAUGGUUGGGGUUACAGAAGUGGAAAAAUACAUCAGCUUCCUCCCAAGACAGAUAGAAUCAGGUCAAAGGUGGGGACUCAGGGGAGAGGG